rnacentral:rRNA from 1 species
CAAGUCGAACGCGAAAGUUCCCUUCGGGGAGCGAGUAGAGUGGCGCACGGGUGAGUAACACGUAGGUAAUCUACCUUUGGAUUGGGAAUAACAACCGGAAACGGUUGCUAAUACCGAAUAAUGCAGCGGCACCUAAUGGUGACAGUUGUUAAAGCGGGGGAUCGCAAGACCUCGCGUCUAAAGAGGAGCCUGCGGCGGAUUAGCUAGUUGGUAAGGUAACGGCUUACCAAGGCGAUGAUCCGUAGCCGGCCUGAGAGGGCGGUCGGCCACACUGACACUGACAUACGGGUCAGACUCCUACGGGAGGCAGCAGUCGGGAAUUUUGGGCAAUGGGCGAAAGCCUGACCCAGCAACGCCGCGUGAAGGAUGAAAUCCUUCGGGAUGUAAACUUCGCAAGAACAGGAAGAAUAAGUCGGUGCAAAUACCACCGACGAUGACGGUACUGUUUGUAAGCUCCGGCUAACUCCGUGCCAGCAGCCGCGGUAAUACGGGGGGAGCAAGCGUUGUUCGGAUUUACUGGGCGUAAAGGGCGGGUAGGCGGCCACCGCAAGUCAGUUGUGAAAUCUCCGGGCUUAACCCGGAAAGGUCAACUGAUACUGCGGGGCUAGAGUGCAGAAGGGGCAACUGGAAUUCUCGGUGUAGCGGUGAAAUGCGUAGAUAUCGAGAGGAACACCUGCGGCGAAGGCGGGUUGCUGGGCUGACACUGACGCUGAACUGCGAAAGCUAGGGGAGCGAACGGGAUUAGAUACCCCGGUAGUCCUAGCCUUAAACGAUGAAUGCUUGGUGUCUGGGGUUUUAUAGUCCCCGGGUGCCGUC